rnacentral:rRNA from 1 species
GAAGCGAUGCGGCGACGCAGAGCGGAACUUCAAAGCCUGUCUCAGUUCGGAUUGGAGUCUGCAACCCGACUCCAUGAAGCUGGAUUCGCUAGUAAUCGCGCAUCAGCCACGGCGCGGUGAAUACGUUCCCGGGCCUUGUACACACCGCCCGUCAAGCCAUGGAAGCCGGGAGUGCCUGAAGUGCGUGAGCGCAAGCAGCGCCCUAAGGUAAAACCGGUGACUGGGGCUAAGUCGUAACAAGGUAUC